CCUACGGGUGGCAGCAGUGGGGAAUAUUGCACAAUGGGGGAAACUCUGAUGCAGCGACGCCGCGUGAGGGAAGAGGGAUUUCGGUAUGUAAAGCUCUAUCAGUAGGGAAGAAAAUGACGGUACGUGAUUAAGAAGCACCGGAUAACUACGUGCCAGAAGCCGCGGUAAUACGUAGGGUGCAAGCGUUAUCCGGAUUUACUGGGGUUAAAGGGAGCGUAGGCGGCAGCAUAAGUCUGUGGUGAAAUGCCGGGGCUUAACCCCGGAACUGCAGUUGAAACUGUGCAGCUAGAGUGCAGGAGAGGUAGGUGGAAUUCGUAGUGUAGCGGUGAAAUGCGUAGAUAUUAGGAGGAACACCAGUGGCGAAGGCAGCUUACUGGACUGUAACUGACGUUGAGGCUCGAAAGCGUGGGGAGCAAACAGGAUUAGAUACCCUUGUAGUC
rnacentral:rRNA from 1 species